AAAAGAUAUUAUAUUUUUAAAUAAAACAAAAAAAAAUAAAAACGCUUAUACCUUCGGAUGAAAUAAUCAAAUAUAUAAUUAAAAUCAAAACUCAAAAUUUUGAAAAUAAAAAUAAAAAACAAAAUAGAAGUAUGAACGAAAAGUUUUUCCACUCUUUCAUAUUUAGUGUUCAUCAAAGUCAUGCUUCUUCGAGUGAAACUUUGUUCGUUUAUAAAUAAGAAAAAAGUUGUGAAGAUUUUUUUCUAGUUAUUAUCCAUCAAAUUUAUAACUUUCACUUCAAUUUAAUCAAUACUAAAAGAAAGCAAAAUGAUUGAAAGAAGAAGACUAGAAAAUAAAAAGCCUCAGUUGGUAUGAAUUGUUAUUUAAUUAUAUUUUAAGUGUUUUUCAAAUUAUGAUUCUUUAUUAAUAUAAAAAAUAUGGUAAUAAUUAUUAACAAAAUAAUAACUUAUAUAACAAAUAGAUUUUCAUGUGAUGUUUUAAAAUAUGUACAUAUUUACAUGUUUUUACUUUUGAUCGGUUUUAUUCGGUUUAUUCGGUUUAAUCGGUUAUAAACCAAACCAUAUUCAAAUCCUACGGUUUUUAUAAAAUCAUAUCCAUUCGGUUUAUAUGGUAUAUACCAAAACCACACGAUAUUGUCUAUUUGGAUCUGGUUUGGUUUGGUACGGUUUGGUUUUACCAUAUUGGACAUGUCUAGCUGCAGUGCCGCUGCUACAGUAACUCCCGAUUUUCUGCUACAGUGUCGAUCGAUUUAUUUGCUAUAGUGUCGAUCGAUGCUACAGUGCCUUUUCUACAGUGCGGUUGCUACAGUACCGUUGUGACUGUUCAUAUGGUUUUUUUUUUUAAAACAUGAAAUCAUUAGAAAACAAAGAAUCAAUAAUAAAUGAAAAAAAAAUUAAAUUUAAAACAAACCUAAUAGUGGGUUGCCUCCCACUCAGCGCUUUGUUAUAGUCAUUUAGCUUGACUUUGGAGAUCUGAUUUAGUCCGGAUGAAAAUGAGAACGAAACCAUAUGAACAGCUUCUUCUGUCCAGAUAGGUGGUCUUUGAUGUUUAGGGACAUCAAGGUGUGAGGCCUUAGACAUGUACAUCCUUUCCUCAAUUGGUUCCAUCUCAAUUAUGCAACCUGGCGGAACGUCUAGCAUUGAGAAUCGAUCGAUAUUAAGUGGGUGGUGUUGUUUUUCACUGGAUGAACAGUGUCGAGGUGAACAGUGUUCGAAUGAACAGUGCCCGGAUGAACAGUGUCAUGAUGAACAGUGUUCACAUGAACAGUAUCGAUCGACGCGGAAUGAUUAGUAUCGAUCAACACAGGAUGAAUAGUGUCGAUCGACGGGAGAUGAACAACGUUGAUCGACGUGGGAUGAAUAGUGUCGAGAUGAACAAUACCUCGACGAACAGUACUUCGAUGAACAGUACCGGAGUGGACAGUACCGUGAUGAAUAGUACUGGAGUGAACAGUAUCGUGAUGAACAAUGUUGUCCGACACAAGUUGAAUAGUGUCGUACGAUACUUGGUUCACGAUACCAUUCAUCUAAGCAGUGUCGAUCGACGUCAGGUGAGCAAUGUCGAUCGACGUCAGGUGAGCAAUGUCGAUCGACGUCAGGUGAGCAAUGUCGAUCGACGUUAGGAUUUCUACGCUGCCAAUCGAUUUCUUGGAGGGUGUCGACUGCCCUCUUAGACUUAUGGAUUACGCGUUCCAAAUCCAGUAGCUCUGCUAGUAAGAGCUCUAUCCCCUUUAUUUCUUCUGGUGCUCAUAUGGAUGUACCUGAAACAAGAGAAAAUUUUUUAUCAGUUUUUUUGAACAAUAGUAAAACCUAAAUUAAAUCUAACUAAACAAGAUCUAAUGGCGAUCAAAACUCCCCGGCAACGGGGCCAAAUUUGAUAUCACUCAAAUUACCCUAAGGAGUGAUUUAUACUCUCUCAAAUAAGAGGUCGAGUUGUAGUACUUAGGAAUCAAAUUCACAGGGAGCUAGAUCUAAUCAGUUUGAUUAAGUAAGGUUAAUAAGUUUAAAGCAGUAAACAGUAAACAAGUUGAACAAUACAAUUGUUCAGAUUGGCAGGCAUUUGUUUGAUGGAAUGAUGGUUGCUAGAUCUAGGGUUUUUAUUCAGGUGUUGGAGAUUAUAAUCCUAUAGAUGCCUAACAUUUACAUGCAUGAUAUAUUAGAGCUCAAUUCCUUAAUCACAGUGAUCAGCGAUGGCAAUGUUUCACUGGUAAACUAACUAGAUCUUGGAUCUCAACGGUUAGUCUUUUGAUCACAAGAAAGUGUCGAUCGAUGAUCCUACAGAGAUAUCGAUCGAUACACCUUUUGCAAUAACGAUCGAUUAUUAGAAGACAAUAUUGAUCGAUGCUUUUAGCUAAGCCCUAGGCGCAGGCUGAUAAUGCUCACUAGUCUCCUAGAUCAGCGGUUAGCCUUUUUCUAGCACUCCUAGUAUGAUUGACUAGAUUCAGGACAGGAUGAUCAAGGAUGCUUGACACAUGCAAAUUCCUAGGUUCAUGUUCUAGUUAACAAGGCUAAAACAAGCAGUAAAAAAAAAAUCUAAUAAUGAAUACCACAACUUAGCAAAUUUAUAGUUGGGGCUAAUCCCUCUAAUCUAUUUGAACCCUAAACCUAACAGGUGGAUCUAUUCAGACAUAAAGUUUGUCACAGAAAUCAUAGAUGAAUAACAUAAAAUAUAAAUAAAACCAAAACAAUGGAGUUCCAGGAGGACUCUGAAGGAGUUCAUCCUUUCUCUCCUAACUAAGAACAAGAAUCAAAGAAAGCUUAGAUAGGGUGUAGCCGUCAACAAUGGCUUAGAAAUAACAUAAAUAGGGUUUCUGGUCGUCCAAGGGUAUUCUGGUAAUUUGGGAUUUCUUAUGUGCUUCAGUCGGUCAUAAAAUAUGCUCGGCCCGCAUUCUGGCAUCCAUACCGAUCGAUGUCAAGAGAUCUGCAUCGAUCGACAUAUGUUCCUCUUCUCGACAGCUUUCUCUUGCGAGGCAGACUGACCACUCUUCAGUAAAAUGGACAUAACGUUUGCUACAUGAUGCGGAUUGACCUCAAACCGGUGGCAUUGGAAAGCUAACUCAAAUAUAUAUUUUGUGUCAAAAUUUGAGCUCAAUCUAACGGUCGGAAGGCUCCAUCCAUGGCUAGACAUCGGACACGUUUGUGCAGUUCUGCACCUCAAAAGACUCCAAAAUAACCAUAUUUCCCCAGAACGUACCUGAACCUGUAAAUACUCUAAAUAUACUUUUUAUAUAGUAGUAAAUAUAUAUAUUAAAACACUUAUAGACCAUGGCUAAAAGUGGGUAAAAUCCAUGGUCUAUCAGUAUCUCAGAGUAUAGACCAAUUGCCUUGUGCAAUGUCUACUACAAGAUAUAUUCCAAGAUUCUCCAACAUUGCCUACAACCACUUCUGGAGAAGAUUAUUUCUGAAAAUCAAUCCUCCUUCGUCCCAGGAAGAGCGAUCAGGGAUAAUAUCCUUAUCCCCCACGAAGUUCUCCACACUCUAAAGACGUCAAAGGCUGAGCAAAGAGUGUCGAUGGCGGUAAAGACGAAUAUGAGUAAAGCCUACGAUAGACUUGAAUGAGACUUUAUUUCUCAUGUGCUUGAGAGACUCGGAUUUAGCCAUACCUGGAUUGGCUUGAUCAUGCAGUGUAUCUCAACAGUUACAUACACCUUCCUCAUUAAUGGUUCGCCUAGAGGAUUGGUUACACCGAGCAGAGGGAUCCACCAAGGCGACCCCCUCUCUCCCUAUAUAAUUAUCUUGUGUAGUGAAGUGCUCUCGGGUCUUUGUGACAGAGCACAAGAGGAAGGUGAUACAACUCAAAUUACCCUAAGGAGUGAUUUAUACUAUCUCAAAUAAGAGGUCGAGUUGUAGUACUUAAGGAUCGAAUUCACAGGAAGCUAUGGAACCUAAGAAGUCUAAUAUGAUUUGUUAAGCUAGAUGGUUUAAGAGAUUUAAAAGUAAAUUGCAGUUUUAUAUUGAACAAGUGUUUGUUCAAUAGAUUGAUUGAGGUUUUGGUGCUUAAAAAGGAAAUAGUUAGACUUAUGAUUUUGAUUCAGGAAACUUGGGAUUAUAAUCCUACAGAUUCCCAAUGAGUUGCAUGCAUGAUAAUGUAAAGCUCAACUACUUAGUUAAAAAUAAUAAUAAUAAUAAAUAAUUUAAGGAGCUGCUUGGAAAGGCAAGACGUGUUACAAAAUUGCGGAAUUAACGGUACAGAAUCAAGACGAGGAUUUGGAAGAAUAAAAAGGGUUUGGUCAGCUUCCGGAAUCAGAAAGUCAAGCCACAUCGGUUAAUCACUGUGAGUCACGGUUAAUUGUUUGUUAACAAAUUUUUAAUGCAGGUUCCUGACAUCAGAGACGGUUUCCGAGCUAGGAUAGUUGGACCGGGCUAGGUGUCAGUUUGUGGAUCCGAGGCUUGAGACGAUGUCUAGGCUAAGUGGAUAGCAAGACUAGUCUAAGCACCCGGAUUAUUACGAUUGUGUAAUUAUUAUAUGUUAUUAUAGUGGGUACCUCGUGUUGGUACUGUUGUGUGAGAACCUCGUGGUGGUUCUAGUAGUAGUUUGCAGGUCAUUGCUUCCUCAAAUGGUACCACUAAGCCGGUCGUGGUCCGGACAGUGGUGGGCUCGGUUUAACUUGGCUUGAUCACCAAGGCCGAGUGUCACAUGUGGAUGUGACAGCCCCCGGUGAGUCCGAUAGAGGACCGGGGCACGGCGAUUCCGAUUGAGGACCGUGACCAGGCGAUUCCCGAGCGCCUACGCCUGUGUGGUGUAAUAGUAAAGGGAUUGCCGGUGUCCCUUAUGUGGAGGAAGAAUGAUUCUGUUGGGCCCUAGGAGUACAUGUGACCAGUAGAAAAGACCGUAGCACUCGCGGAACUGUAGGAGCUGGUGUAGAUUGGACAUCUUUUGCUAAAGACUCGUUUUCAAGAUAUAUGAAUGUAUGUUUUACUUUCGACUGCGUCCAUGGACCAUAUGUAUAAUAUUUUGGGCUCGUGAACUUCAUGUUUUAUAUAUAUGGAAUAAAGUAUGUUUAAUAUUCGUGACGUGUUGAGUCUGAUAUUAGGUUACUCCAACCUAACACAACUCUAUGACUCGGUACGGGUUGCAAAGCCUCAUGCCGAAGAUUAGAGGAAACGAGUUUUGAAUGGAUAUUCUGGGUUACAGAAUUAUGUUUUGUGACUUGGAAAGUCUAUUCUAAACCCGUUGUGACACUUCCGGACUUAGCAGAGGAAGGUCGUUCGGGCAUGUUCUUAUUUGAUUGUUGCCCGACUGACUGACCAAUGUUUAAAAUGGUUCGGGGGUGUUACACAAGUGGUUCAGAUAGGAGACACUAUUAAAAGGCAGGAGGCUUUCAUGAAAGGUAAAGGGGAGGAAUCUUGAAGCACCACGUGAAUGCCAUCAUGGAUGAUGAUUUCUGGCAAGUGGUUAAGGAGGAGAAGCUUCAAGAGGGAGAUUUCCAGGUUGAAAGCUCCAUGAGUUUCGGCGGUUCACAUUGGUGUAAGCCGAUGCCAAGCUACAAACAUCGACUGACGGAGACAGACAAACAUCGAUUGACAUCAGGUUCUCCACAUCGAUCGAUUGAGGAAGUUGCAUCAUGUGCAACCGUGAGAAUUAUGACUCACGAGGAGUUCGCAGCUAAACACCCUCAUCCACGAAAAUCCUUACGCAUCAAGAAGUCGGACAUCUAUCGACACCAAGAGUCAGCCGCGAUCGACAGCCAGACUCAACUGACGAUUGAUACAACUCACCCAGCGUAAAUCGAUGACCACCUCUGACCUACCGAGUGCAGUUACCAAAGAUAGAUGUAGCACGCCUGAAUGCACUAAGAAAUACAUUUCAACCUUCAGAACAUAUUGCAGACAACUUUGAUCAACAUUCAGAUGAUGCACCAGAGCCUAUGCAAGUUUAUCAGACUUCUGAGAGGAGAACCUUGAGGAGAAGAAAGGAAAAGGUUCCUAAGCAUCUCAAAAGAGGAGUAAAUGAGAUGGAGAUGGAAAGCUUCACAAAGCCAUUUGAGGAGGCUUACUUUACCCACAGGUUGUAGAUGUUCUUCAGAGAAAUCAAGGAGACUGAACAUGACAUAUAUAGGAUAUUCAACCAGGUUAGAGAAAAGAUGAAGCGGAGGAUUAAACUGAAGAAGACGAGGGAUCCUGAGAAAUUUAUAUGCCAUGUUGUUUGAAGGGCAUUGAAUUUCCAUGUGUGUCGUGAGACACAGUAUAAUAACCCUCACGAGCAGAUAGAAUAUUGGUCGAGAAAAUUCUUUCAGAUCAAUUUGAAGAUUGAUCGAUCAGAAUUUAAAUAAAAAUCGACACGGUGAAUUAAUCUCUCGACGGGCUGUCUUUUGGUCGAAAAACCAUCUCUUGAAGGUUCUGGUCGAGUGUUAAUUAUUAUUGUCGAUUUUUAUUCAUGCUAGGCGAGUUUAUUCAGAGCAGGAUGAGAUUCGAAUGAUAAAAAAUAUUUAGUCGAAACAGUCAUAAAAAUAUCGACAAAACUUAAAAUUAUUUCUGAACAGUCACAUGCCUUGCCCCUUCUAGCCUACUUGCUUUCUCAGUAAUUAGGUCACAUGACAUGUACCUACUUGCUUACCUGCUUGCUCAUUAGAAGUCACAUGCUGGUCACAAGCUGUUUGCUUCAGCUGCUUGCAGCUUUCUUCUAGUAAGGGAAAGGUGAACUGCUUGUGCUGAAGCUGGUUGCCACAUGUUUCUCCAAACUACCACUUUGUGUAAAGAGAAAACCCUGAGCUGAAGCAACCCCAUAUGGUAUAAAACAUCUUCUUCUCUCCUCUGGACGUCCUGUUACUGCAAGAAAAACCAGAGAAAAAUUCAGAGAGAAAGAGA